rnacentral:lncRNA from 1 species
CUUCCACAUAAAAACCAGAGACAGGAGGAUGGGGUCAAGAUGAUGACGUAGGCAGACUCGGAGCUCACCUCCUCCCGUGGACAAAACCUGUUUACAACUACUCUCGGAACAAUUACCCCUGAAAGAGAACUGAAAUCUGGAUAAAAAGAACACUGCAACAAGGGAGAGUGCUGACUGAGGUAGAAGAGGCAGAAAAUCUUUCUGGAGAGAAAAGAAACCACCUUCCUGAGCUGUGACACUUCAUGGCUGGCCAGAAGCAAUCCUAGGUAAUGCAGCCUUCCCUGGAAGAGUAGGGUACCUGAGCAAGGGAGUGUUACCACUAGAAGCAUCUUUUGGACUCAGCACAACUGAAACGAGUACCAUAAUAUCUAGCUUUGCUGGCUACUAACAACAGUGGGGAAUACCCCUAGAAAAGCUAUCAGACAUAAGGGGAAAAAAGCCAGCUCUUAAAGGGCCCACACGCAAAUUUGCUCAUUUCAGAAAGCCACAUAAAACCACAGAAGGAAAGGUGCACAGUCCUUUGGUGAAAAGAGACUCACCUGAUAGGCUCUGGGUGCAUCUUGGUGAGAGGUGAGACCUCUCCAGGGACUGAGACAUUGGCAGCAGUCAUUACUGUGACAUGCUACAAGCAUGCUGACAUAGAUACUGACAGAAACAAUUGGAGUUUUUCCCCUGGCCUGUUAGCCCAGGGUCUGCCCCACUCACUAAAGCUUUGAUCUAAUCCAGCUCAGCUAGAACAGGCAGCUGCCACAGGGAUUGGGCUCACCCAACAGCAAGCCCUCAGGCAACUUGUGGGCCUACAUAGGCUGGGUGCCUGGAUCCUCAGCAGGCAGCUGCUGUUUGGGUAGGCAAAGUGACAGUGGGGAGACCCAUCCAGAGGCCAUUGUACACAUGUCAUCCAGAGAUGAUGGUGACUGGACCAGUGUGGUGACCGAAAAGAUGGAUAGAAGGAAGCAGACUCCAGAUGCAUUUUGAAGGGUGUCUUCCUAUUAAAUAUGGGGACCACGAGGACCCUCUGCUAUGUUCUUAGUGGACAUCACAGAUGUGGAAGAGACACGGCCUUUGGAAUCAGAUUUGUUUCUGUUUCCCAGAUCUGCAAUUUAAUAUAUGUGAACCUGGAGGGUGGAUGCUCCUGGAGAGGACAUUGCGCUACACUCGAGUUCUCAAAGGCUCAGCCAGUCAUGAAGAGAUGAGAGCUGAAGAUGAGAAACCGUGUCCAGUCUUUGGCAUUCCCUUCUGCGGCUGCUUCCAACUUUCCCAUGCCCACCAGUCCCCUGAGCCCUGUCCCAUAUGCCUUCCUCUGGCUCUAUGGACAAGCUUUUUCACCGAAUAUCAAACCUGGGAGGCUCCAGAUGUCAGGUAGCUCCCCCAGGACAUUCAAUCAGAAUGGAAAAAAAUGUACGCA